rnacentral:lncRNA from 1 species
UUUUCAAAAUCAAGAUUUUACAAAAGAUGUAAAUACUUGUAAUCCCAGCACUUAAGAGGCUGAGAUGGGAUGCUGAGGAAUUUGAGGCCAGCCUGGGCUACAUAGAGUUCCAUACCUCUCUGGACCAUAUAGUAAAAUCUUGGCUCUAAAACAGAAGAGAAUGUACUUAAAGAUGCCUGGUGAGUGAACAAAUGUGCUGCUUGAACUCUGAACCUUCAGUCCUCGUUGUAGGUCGUGUUGAAUUUUAUGCUCAUGCCCCCCUGUAUGCACAUAUGACCCAAGAGGCAGAGCUAACAGCGAGCCACGUUGUUGGGAUGACUGCUGAUACUCCUCAGGUCUCUGUGGUUAGGAUUGAAAAGAUGCAAGAUAUGGGGGUGAAAAACUUACUCUGAAAUGCUGUAAGGGUUACAGAGCCAUUGGUUGAGGUGGUACAAAUAUAGCUACCUUUUGUUUCCCAAAUAAUUGGGAUCCUAUUGAAGAUGAAUUGUGCCGGCACCUACUUUCUAAACUGGCUUUCAUUUUAUCUGCUCAAGCAUGCACACCUAACCUCUGCUUAGGACAGGGAGGCACUAAUCUGCUUCUGUGCACUUGGAAGGGAACGCUGGCAAUGCAUCGAACUCCGGGGGAUGCAUUAGUAAUGGAAUUUUUUUUUCUCACUCUCAAAAAGGAAAUCAUUUAUGUGGCCGCUGUCUAGAAGAAUGCAAAUAGACAUUGGUUGUUGUUUUCUAAGUUAAUCACUGAGCAGAACAUAAAAGAGAAAUACCUUAACAACUAAAUACCCGAAAUACCUACUCUUUACAUAUCUGUAGACCCAGUGUGAUCUAAUUCAAUGUAGGUCACCUUGAAAUUGUGUUGCCCUAUAAGCUUUAGUGUAUCUUGUACUAUGUUCUGUGUCUCUUACCAUUAUUAAACUCUCAAAAAACAAACAAGAAC